GACGAACGCUGGCGGCGUGCUUAACACAUGCAAGUGGAGCGACGAAGCCGACUUCGGUCGGUGGCAGAGCCGCGAACGGGUGAGUAACACGUGGGUAACGUGCCCCAAUCACUGGGACAACCCGAGGAAACUCGGGCUAAUACCGGAUGUGGUCCUCUCACAUCAGUGAGUUGACUAAAGGUAGCUUCGGCUUCCGGAUUGGGAUCGGCCCGCGGCGCAUUAGCUUGUUGGUGGGGUAAAGGCCUACCAAGGCGACGAUGCGUAGCUGGUCUGAGAGGACGAUCAGCCACACUGGGACUGAGACACGGCCCAGACUCCUACGGGAGGCAGCAGUGGGGAAUCUUGCGCAAUGCGCGAAAGCGUGACGCAGCAACGCCGCGUGGGGGAAGAAGGCCUUCGGGUUGUAAACCCCUUUCAGGAGGGACGAAGUGUGUGCGGUGAAUAGCCGUUACACAUGACGGUACCUCCACAAGAAGCCCCGGCUAACUACGUGCCAGCCGCCGCCGUAACAC
rnacentral:rRNA from 1 species